UUCUCGCCACCUCCUUCCCUACCGUACGCCGCCCCCGUUCCUCUCUAACCUAACACCAAGAACCGCUGCGCCGUUGCGCCACUGCCUCCAUCCACAACGUCCCACCACCCUCACGGCCUUCUCCAAUCUUGAUAUUCCAGGGAGGCAACGGGAAGGCUCCCACGGCAGCGGUUGCAGCGACCGGCAGAUGUUGGAUUCCCUCGAAUCCUCAAGUCGCCCACGCUGAGAGAAUGGGCACGAUAUGGAGAUGGGGUGAGGGACGGACGGGCAAGAGAACAGAGAGGAGCCAGCCGCCAGAGGAGGCGGCUCAAGAAUAACAUAUUGGAUGACAAAUUCUUUAGCAUCUCCAUCUGACUCCCAGAAAGUGCUUAUUCAAACCUGAAAUAUAUAGAAGUAACCAACUGAGAUUAUGCCAACUUCUUUUA